rnacentral:lncRNA from 1 species
CCAAGGGCUUCAAAUGUGCUUCACAGACAAGGAAAAAAUCUCCCAGUUGGCCGCUCCUGGAUUCCUUAGCUCGGAACUCCAGACACAUAUUCAGUCUCUCUUAAUAUGAUCAUGAGGGAAGUCUGGAAGUAUCUCUUGAAUCUAAAAAUGCAGAUGCCCCACACCUCAUCUGUUCCCAUCUUGGCACCAUCCUACCUGCACCUCGGCAAGGAGAUUUGGUCUCAUGUUUGUCACCGCAAGCAAUUGAAACAACUGGCGUGUCUGGCAACAGAUGAAAUAAGGCAUGGGUUUUUGCAGUGCCAGGUGUGGAUUGAGAUUCAGCCUUGUAAGACUUACUCACUGAAAACUGGAAUUUGCUUAGUUCCAAGGUAACCUUUUGUAACAGAUGUCAUUGGCUACCUAUCCAAUAGUCAUUCCACUUCCCUUUGUUUUUCCUUGGAGGAGAACAAGAUUUUCUUCAUUAUACACAAUAAAAUUGGGAUGUCCGUGUGUAAUUAAGAAAA